ACGCUCGACACCUACGAGGCAGCAGUGGGGAAUAUUGCACAAUGGGGGAAACCCUGAUGCAGCGACGCCGCGUGAGCGAAGAAGUAUUUCGGUAUGUAAAGCUCUAUCAGCAGGGAAGAAAAUGACGGUACCUGACUAAGAAGCCCCGGCUAACUACGUGCCAGUAGCCGCGGUAAUCUGAGCGGGCUGGCAAGGC
rnacentral:rRNA from 1 species